ensembl:lncRNA
GUGUGAGCGUUCACUGCGGCGGAGCCUCUGCUGGCGUGCGCUGGUCCACGUGACUGCAAAACUUCAUGCAGGUUGUGGAAACUGGGUCUGUGAAGUUCACUCUCAUAUUUGCGAAGCAAAGUCCAAAGACCCUCAGGGUCCUGAGAAGUGAAAGAGACAUUACUGACACAAUAAACCUCAUCUGCUCUGCACACUGUCACGACACAUUCAGAAUGUUUGGUUUACUUACUACUUUGCUCUUCAUAUUCUUUAACUUUAUUAUUAUAUUUGCAUUUUCUAUUUUAGCUUAUUCUAAAUUUGACAAAUGCACACUUAAUCUUUUAGAAUUACUACAGUAUAUACCAUGGUUCUGUUCAAAAUGGAAUACUUGCAUACUGAUUACUGCACAGUACAGUAAAUGCUGUAUAUACUGAGAUUCACCAAAUCUGGCAGAGAGUUUAAAAUGGUCCAGGCCUCAUCAUCAUGUGCUUGCGUCAGCUGGGUCAGCAAAUGAGUGGCACAUUCGCCCCAUGAGACAUCUAUCCCAGAACACCCUGGAGCGAAUGGUCUAGUAGAAGAACCAUGUGCUUCCUGUAGAGAGGCUUUGAUCUGCUGCAGGCUCCACACACAGCUCUCAUCCACCGCAUUUCCAUGAACCACAUCUGAAAAAUAGACUUUAAUUUCUUUAAUGAAAACCAGAGGACUAUCUUACAGUUGAUGUGCUUCUAAUACUAAGUUACUAGUCAUUUUGGCUAGUUCACCCAAAAAUGAAACCCACAUCAUAUUAAUUUGGAACAACAUAUCACUUUUGUAGUUGUGUUUGUGUUUUUUAUAUGUAGUUGAUGUUUUUAACUGUUUUUCUGAAUGUUUGCCUCGAGGUCACUCAGGGAAAGCCUGUGUAAGAUCUCCACCAACCGUUUCCUUUCCUGCUUCUGACACAGAACCAAAAACUGCAGCACAGCCUGAUGGGAAAAUAAAUAAACAUUUUAUCUAUUAUAAAACUGUACAUAACACAAGCAUAUGAGGUAAAUAUUUCCUUUAAGUCAUGUUGGAAUGAUUUCAUAUUACA